GGCAAAAACCUCAAGGUGUUGGUGGCGAGGGUGGAGAAAUUUGUGCGCCGAAGCUACCCCAUAUGCAGCGUUUGCUUGCCACAAGCAGCGCUCGCUUGCCGAGUGUUCUCUCAGUAACAUCGGGGCCGUGAAUGAAGUAGCAAGUCCGACGAGCAUUUCUCCACAAAGUUCGGUGCCGUCCCUCCGAGUCCAUAUGCAAUUUUUACCUCGCUUAUUCGUCUACAAAAUAAAAAAGACGUUGAGAGUACAUUUUUUAUUUUCACUUCGAAAAGGAUAACAAAUUGCUCUUCACGAUACGUGUUCUUCCGUUUUCCUUUUAAUGCCAGACCAUUUUUUUAUUCUAAUGAAAGACGAAGAGUGCGCGUGGGUGUUGAAGGUACGAUAUGCCAUUUGUCAGUCCACUGACAUGGAAAAUAGCAAUUAUUGUACGUCAGCUAUAUUUUUCAGUUUGGCUUGAAUAGAUUCCAUAAUGUUGCUUCGGAGCACGUCAACACGCCGCACGAGGGCGUCUCAAAACCCUGGGGGCUCGCCGCAGAGUCACGUUGUCGGAAAUUCGCCACCGGUGUCAAGGGGACGCAGAGCAUCCGUCGCGACGGAUAAAGGUGGACCCUUGAACCACACUACGGUUGACUGCUUUAUAGACAGACAACGAUCACCCCGUGGCAGCAUGGUACCCAACAUUGCUCUAGACAACGAGGAUGUUACACCGGAUGAGCAGCCUGUGGGAAGGAGAUUGUUACCGGAUCCCGAGUCCUGCAGCGCAGGACGAGCAGGUCUUUUAUCAGCGUCGAACCGAAGUCCCCGAAACUCUCUGGUGCCGGAUGAUUAUUUUCGAAGCCCGAGAGGAUCUUUGGUGCCACCGGAAACUGGUUACAACCGUAGUCCCCGGAAUAGCCUGGUUCCCGGGAGCCUUGGACACUCGAGGAACUCACUCAUCCCGGCGGAGAAUGGAAGCCAUAGGAAUUCGACGCACUCCUUAUUACCCGAAGGAUCCAGGAGCCCUCGUGGCAGCAUGGCCAACAUCGAGUUCGACAGAAGUCCUCGAGGCUCCAUAUGUCCGGAGAUGUUGAGAUCUCCGAGAGGCAGCAUCGUACCAACGGACCUGGAGAGAAGCCCUCGAGGCUCCAUUUGCCCGGAAAUGUUGAGAUCACCGAGAGGAAGCAUCGCGCCGAUCGAGAUCGACAGAACCCCACGAGGCUCGGUCAUUCUUGAAUAUCAUAAUCAGAGCCCGCGCGGCUCGAUAAUGCCCGAACACAACAGAUCACCGAGAGGUUCCAUCGUCCCGGACGCUAACAGAUCUCCGCGCGGCUCGAUAUGCCCGGAGGGCAACCGCAGCCCAAGGGGCUCCAUCGGACCGCACGAUAUCAACAGAUCUCCUAGAGGAUCGCUCGGACAACCAGCCGAUUUUGACAGAACGCCAAGAGGCUCCAUCGGUGGCCAGGGAGACUCGGAAUUACCGGCGAAAAACCGAAGCCCCAGAGGUAGCAUCGGACCUGAGAUGGAUAGAAGUCCUAGGGGAAGCCUCGGCGGUCAUGAGAGGCGAAAUCCGAGGGUCCUGGCACCGCAGGAUACGAGAAGAGCCUCCGCUGAUCAAGGUAUAACGACAAACCGGCACACUUCGCCGUACAGACAUCGCGAAAAUACUUCAGGAAACGGUAGAGCCGCCGGGAAUUCUGCAGGUCCUCAAUCCAAUCUUGGAUACGGAACGAACGCUUGGGCGGAUUCCCGGAGAGCGAGCAGCUCGGUAUCUCAGUUCUCAGGUGACGAGUCUCGACGGCUUUGCGGGGGCGUUGUUAAUUCCAUGGAAAAAGGUUCUUCCGGAUCCGGACCGUUGGGAGUCGCUACCUAUGGCACACUGGUUUUUCAGCUUAAAGAUGCUCAUCGCGAGGCCAGCGGCACUUGCGACUUCGUUUUUCGUGCUAUGACAGUCGUCAGCAGAACCAUGGUCUUCACUGUCUGUCUCGGUUGUCUUUCAACCGUCCCAUUGUUAAUGCUAAUCAUGGGUGUGCAGUUCAUCAAAGAUUGCCCGAUUGAGCCGAACAUACCAGUUUACAUGGUCGUUGGUGGUUCGCUGGGCAGCUUAAGGAUGUUCUGGGCCCUUUAUUCGCAAAUACAAUCACGCCGGCUCGAGGUGCUCAGUGUACCCACCACGGAAUCCCACACUUCACCAAUGAAAUUGGUCUCGAUCGCUCUUUCCCUCUUCCUAUCAAUUUGGUUCGUCGUAGGCAAUUAUUGGAUUUUGAACAUACGAUGGCCCAAGUACGCUGCCGACAUGUGGGAGCCUGAUCUUUGGUGCGACAAAACGCUCUACACAUUUUCCGUCGUGCAUCUCGGGAUCGCCUACGCCACGAUCGUUGCUAGCAUUAUUACGGCGAUAGCGCUAGCGAUUUGCAGAUUUUUCGCAUGCCCAUGGUUCGAAAGGUACAAAUAACCACGACGAUCGGCACGCCUGAGGGAGGGUGUUGGUGAGAGAAAAGCUGGCCCAGCCUCAAGAGGACGCGAAAGAAUCUCGCUCGACGGUAAAGUCCUGGAGGAAUUGAAUGAGGACGACGAGGACGCUUCGCUGGAUGCUGCGAAUGAUAACGAGGGCGAGAAGCGAGCUGCGGAAGUGGUCGAAGUUGUGCGGGAGGUACGCUGGGUCGACCAGGUGGUUCAGGAAGUCAAAUAUUCCAGCAAGAUGCAGUUCCGUGCUCCGGACAUAAUUGAAUUGUAGUUUACGCGUCCCAGCGGAAAUAGCAUCGGGCAUUUGUUUUCUUUCUCUCGCGAGGCUUUUCUUUUGUUUUAUCAUCCCGGAUCUCCGGUGAGUCACUCGAAAUGGCGGUUGGACGGCGUAGUCGCGUGGCUAAACAACGCGGAUGGAAACGUUCUCGAGAGCGAAACAUUCGUCGAGGUGAAACGAAUAAAAAGAUGUUAAAAAAGCUGAGAGGAAGCGCCGCGUCCGAAGAAGAAUUACGAUUGAACGAGAUUCGGUGGCUUCGCUCAAACUUUUUAAUUACUCCUACAACUUUUCAGAAGGGCAGCAAGACCAGACUGCGCACCUCGCACCGACGAGCCUGUUCGAGAAGUGAUUGGGUCAAUUAAUCAACCACGUGGAGCACCGAUCGCACUUGGAUCCUAAAAUGCACCGCGUCUCUGUUCGUGACCACUUGCAAAAACGUAAAUGAAACAGAGAAACGGCGAGACUUUCUCAGUGAAAAAAAGUCAUAUUUCCAUGCCCAUUUUCCGGAGUACGCGAUAAGAAUAAGGACUUUUGAUUCGCGAUGAUAAAGCUUGUAAAUACCGGACCAAGACGUCUAACUUAUUACAUAAUUACGGAUCGAAAUAUGCGUGUAUAGAUCAAUUAAAUAUCGUCAUAUUUCUAGAAUGUAAAUUCGUUAACGUUGACGUGACGAUUGAAUAGGGUUACCUUAAUUAUUGAACACCAUGACAUAGUAACUACACGAUUUCCCCACGCACGGGUCUGAGGGACCCGAAUCUAUUCACCGCUUACAUCUCCGCGAAUUUAAUUUGUUAAUCAACGAUCGUUUUUACAAUCGUUUUUACGAUUCUUUUUACAGUUUAAUUGUGACUCAAAAUAUUGAAAAAAUAUACCGAGGUGAGACGAUCGUUGACGCGACAAAACUUUCGUUUGACCACGAAUCGGGGCAUGCUGAAUAAAAUUCGUCGAUUCGAUUGAAAUUUAGUUGCUCCAAUGGAAGUUUUGUUGAAUCAAGGAAUUUCGUUGUUUUUAAUACGAAACUUUCAUUCUUACGGGUCUCUCAGGCCCGGUGUGACGUGAGUGAGGUUUCAACGCCCCUUAAUUAAUAAAACGUUUUAGCGUUUUCCGCUCGCGCGUGUGCGGAGGUUCGAAAACGGGUCCAUAAUCUUUUCGCAUAAAAACAAUAACCAGGUGAGAGGAGGUUUAAAAAACGACGAGAAAAACACUGCUGAUCGUUGGAAAAUAAAUAAAAAUACUUCCUCGUCGUUAAAGUACUUUUUCGAAGUAAUGAGUCCAAAUCGCUAUACAAUAUGCCCACGUCGUUUGAAGUUUCCCGACCUAAAACUCUGCGACAGGAGUCACCGAGAAAAUAUUACGAAUUUAUUCGGAGCACUGAUUUCGACUAAAAGCCAUCGAAUUCGUUGGAUUAAUUGCGUUACGACCGACCGGCCAACGGCCAGUGCAAGGCCAUUCUGAGACGGAAAAUUUAUUCCGAAUUUUAGGUCAGCUCUUCGUCAACGAAUAACCGAUAUUUCGAUUGGUUUAUUUGAAAUACCGUUUUCAGGCUCGAUUUUCAGAACAAACGGAAUAGGGAGCAGUCAAAAUGAUUUGAAUUCUUUGAAUUUUGUAAAAAUUUCUGGUUUGAGGAUGUCUGAAUGUUUGAAAAAUCAUCGAAAAGAUGUCUCAUAGUUUUUAUAAUUCAGUCGGACUGUGCGUGAAAAAAUGUCCCGAGUAGGGACCCGAGCUUCGGUCGUUCGAUGCAUUCGAAGAUUGAGCAAAAUGUAUUUUUCAUUUGUCUCAAAAUGUUGUCAAGGAUCGUUCGAGUAUUGCUGAUUCGAAUGCGUUUUAUCCGGUGGGACGAUACAAAAGUGAGCAAAAUUCCAAGGGGAAUUUUCGGAUUAAAAAAUCUGCUCGAAAUCGGAAUUGCAGAAAAAUCGUGUUGCCUCGAAAAACUCGUGGACAAAUCGUGGAAAAUAAUGACGAAUUGAUUUGCGGUUAGAACUCGAAACGUGUCGUUGAACAUUUGAUUUUCCCUCGGACAAAAUAUUGCCUCAGAAACGGAUGUGAAUGAAAAUAAUUCGAGAGUCGAAAAAUCGAAAAAUAAUUCAAAAAAUUACGGUUUCAAAACUUUCAUCGAUUUUUAACGGUUCAUUGAAACGUCAAACUUGAAUUUACGAGAAAAGAAAUUUUUUGAUUCGGAAAACUUUUGGGGAAUAGUUGUAAAUAAUUGUCCGUCGAAUAAUUCCAAAUGAAACUUCACAGAGAAAACAAAUUGUUGGCCAAAACAAAUUUCGUUUCUUUCUACAAAAGUAACCAAUUUUAUAAUAAGAGGAAUCGAAGGUUUUUGCUUACGAUCGUUAGUUUUUUUUUUUUUAAUUCGUUAACCCAGGACUAAAAAUGCCCAAGGCUCAAUCGAUCGAACUGAGAGAUUUGCCAUUGAACAGAAAAAUUUUCCGUCGCAUUUUUUCCACUAAAUCGAGUUCGUUUCGAGGUCUCAGAUUCCGGGUGGGAUUGAGAAACGUUUCCGAGUUUGGGGCUCAAAGAAUUCGACCGCGUUUCGCGGAGGCAUGAGAAUGUUGCAAAAACGUAUUGCAUCGGUCUGCGAUGACCAAAAUCUGCGGACGUUGCGAGACAGUUUUUCCGAGCAUGAAAAUUCUGUGGACGCAUCGCAUAUAAUCAAGGAGACCUUGACGCGAUGGAAUUGAAAGAGACGAAAUGAUUUUUACAGCGGUUUUCAUUCACUGCGGUACUGUCAAAGGUUGAUCCAGAGAAUCGCAUACCGUGGACGCAAUUGAGUAAAGCGACCAUUGAUCAUGUCGAACGUGCCCCACGCACGAACGAUUUUGUUUUCCUAUCGAGUCUAUAGUUCCACAACGACAGUACUUUUUCUUGUACCAGGAGGAGCUAGAGAAUCAAUUAUAUUUCCGCUACAUCGCGCUCAAACAAGAUUAGCUGGAGCGAAAAAUACAAUUCAGUUGAUGCCCGGAGAGCAGAAAAAUGUACUGAGUUUCUCUUCGAGCUGUCGAAUAACAAAAAACAAUAUUUCCGGACAAAUAGUUCAAGCGAAUAAGCGGAUUUGGAGUGACGCCAAGAUCUUGAUCGAAUAAAAAGCUUUGGGAGCUUCUAUGCGACGUUGUCGUUGUACCUGGCACGAUAAAAAUAGCACGGAAAUGACCGGAGAGGCGUUGGACAAUUUUUUUCCACUCCACCAAAGUUUCUUUUCUUCUCCGACGUUCGUUCAUGAGCUUCGAAAUUUGGUCACGUUGUACUGCACUGAGUUAUAUCUCUCUGCUGAAUUGCCUAAGUACUUAAGAAACUGCUCGAAGCUAUGAAGAAACAAAAAUAGAGAUUCCACCGAAGAUUUUCUUUGAUUCUGCAAACUGAAAUUAUCAUGCAAAUUAUCAUUCGAUCGAUGUGCGAAUUUUGUAUGAAAUUCAUUAGAAAUCACACGCCCCAAAAUCAUUCGUCAGACUUAUGAUCGACCGCAGAAGAAUUACGUUUCCUGUUUCUUCGAAGAACAAACUAAGUUGCGAAGACAUUUUUGCCACUAGAAAUUUACGUUGGUGACGUACCUGAGGUCAAACGAAUAUCUGAUAAAAAUAUCAUGGAAACGAGGUGCUACAUUGUUCGAAUGAUAAAUAGAAAUGUGAUUAGACGACAUGACGAAAAUAUUGGAAGAUUUAUCGAUCCGUGUCUCUCGUUAAUAUUCAACUAUAUAAAUGUAAUGCCGCUCGAGUAUUUUUUCAAGAAUCGUUUCUUCGCUAAUUAAGUUGUCGAAUUGAUGAUGAUUAUUGUUAAAACCCACGUUAUAGAGAGCUUCAUUAUUUUUAUAAAGAAAAAUCAAACGAAACGAAUGAAAAUAAUCGAUGAAAAAUGAAGAAAGAAUCGACGAGAAGAUUGCGUAUCAUUGAGUGAAGAUGAGUGCGAGUUAUAACGACGAAAAUCUAUUUAAAAUACUAUGAAAAUUUAACGAUUGUUCAAAGUUUUUUCAUUUUUUUCUCAUUAUUUUUAUCGAAGAUUCUAUUUGAGAAAUAAAUAUAUGAAUAUAUUUGUA
rnacentral:misc_RNA from 1 species